GCAUAUCAAUAAGCGGAGGAAAAGACUCCACCAGGGAUUCCCUCAGUAACGGCGAGUGAGCGGCACAGCUCAAAUUUGAAAUCUGGCCCUAGGCCCGAGUUGUAAUUUGCAGAGGAUGCUUUUGGUGCGGUGCCUUCCAAGUUCCCUAGAACGGGACGCCAGAGAGGGUGAGAGCCCCGUACAGUUGGACACCAAGCCUUUGUAAAGCUCCUUCGACGAGUCGAGUAGUUUGGGAAUGCUGCUCAAAAUGGGAGGUAUAUUUCUUCUAAAGCUAAAUACCGGCCAGAGACCGAUAGCGCACAAGUAGAGUGAUCGAAAGAUGAAAAGCACUUUGAAAAGAGGGUUAAACAGCACGUGAAAUUGUUAAAAGGGAAGCGCUUGUGACCAGACUUGCGUCCGGUGAAUCACCCAGCUCUCGCGGCUGGGGCACUUCGCCGGCUCAGGCCAGCAUCAGCUCGCUGUCGGGGACAAAAGCUUCAGGAACGUAGCUCUCUUCGGGGAGUGUUAUAGCCUGUUGCACAAUACCCUUCGGCGGGCUGAGGUACGCGCUCCGCAAGGAUGCUGGCAUAAUGGUCAUCAGCGACCCGUCUUGAAACACGGACC
rnacentral:rRNA from 1 species